rnacentral:lncRNA from 1 species
AUCGCCGCACUUGGCGUAGCUGUCGAUGAGGGAGCUCCUGACGAAGACGUCCGAUUCCAAGCCGGCCUUCACCACCGGGCAGUGGAUCCCCCGCAGAGCCUGGAGAUCGCUGCAGGAGCGGAGGACGGAGGAGUAAGUGUACAUGUUGGGCCUCACGCCGUCUCUGAUCAUCUGAACCAGGAGACUCAGUGCUUCCUCUUCUCCCCUGCAGGUCGAGAUCAUGGUAGUCCAGGAGACUACGUUUCUCUCCGGCAUUUCAUCGAACAGCUUCCGUGCCUCCUCGGCAAGCCCCAGCUUCGUGUACAUGUUCAGGAGGACGUUGUAGAGGAACAUGCUGAGCAGGGGACCGCCGCCGCCCCCGCCGCCGGCUGCGAGGUGGCGGUGGACGCGCCGCCCCUCCUCCGCCGCGUUGUUCUUCAGGCAGCACUUGAUGAGCUCAGAGUAGGCGACGGGGUCCCCGCGGAGGCCGCGCCGGUGGAGGGAUUCCAUGGCCGCGAUGGCCCCCGGGAGGUCGUGCCGGCGGCAGAGCUCUGCGAACUCCGCCCCCGCCGCCGACGCCGGUAGGGAAGACGCCCGGCGGCGGAGCAACGGCGACAGGAGUAGUCUUCUGCUGCUGAAGCCCACGGGGGGCCUCAU